CCCCCUAAGAUACUAGUUAAUAGUGGUUGUGGAAUACUGUAUACUCCCCCCCUAAGAUACUAGUUAAUAGUGGUUGUGUAAUACUGUAUACUCCCCCUAAGAUACUAGUUAAUAGUGGUUGUGGAAUACUGUAUACCCCCUAAGAUACUAGUUAAUAGUGGUUGUGUAAUACUGUAUACCCCCUAAGAUACUAGUUAAUAGUGGUUGUGUAAUACUGUAUACCCCCCUAAGAUACUAGUUAAUAGUGGUUGUGGAAUACUGUAUACUCCCCCUAAGAUACUAGUUAAUAGUGGUUGUGUAAUACUGUAUACUCCCCCUAAGAUACUAGUUAAUAGUGGUUGUGGAAUACUGUAUACUCCCCCCUAAGAUACUAGUUAAUAGUGGUUGUGUAAUACUGUAUACUCCCCCCUAAGAUACUAGUUAAUAGUGGUUGUGUAAUACUGUAUACUCCCCCCUAAGAUACUAGUUAAUAGUGGUUGUGGAAUACUGUAUACUUCUCCCUUUUUAAAUAUGCUUCUUCUUUUUAUAUAGAUUUUCAGUGCUAGUAAACACACAAAGAAGAACACAACAGCACCUUUGUACAUACUGCUUUCUCUUGUUUUUCUUGGAGGGGGGGAGGGGUCACGUGUUUGGUUAGCUCGAUCACUCAGGAACACUUCUCAGGACACAUAUACAAUGAAGCCUUCAUCUUUCAACUAUGGAACCUCCACUAAAAUCAUAAAUCAACAGAGAGUAAUCAAACAUGAACCUGAGGGAGAAACUAAGUAAAUGCACUUUAAACUAUCCAACAAAAUAAAUAAAUAAAUAUAAACCUGAGGACUAACUAACCGGGUGACCGUCUGACUGUCCAAUGUGAUGGCUUCGCUAAAAAAUUGCCUGCACAAAAGCGACAAGACACAUAAGGCAGCCAAUCACAGGCAGGCAUAACGACUAGGGUGGGACGGCGUCAGGAGAAAACCUCACACCUAUUCGUUAAAGAGAAAUAGUCCUGUGGCGAUGUCUCUUCAGAGAGCGACACAUCCUCACUGCUAAAGUACAUGUGUGUAUGAAGCUAUCUAUAGUGUAUAAAUCCAUCUGUCCAUCUCUGUUGGCCUUGGCACAAACACGGUGAUUAGUAGGAACAGAAGUCAAUAUCACUAGAUAGUAACAAGUCAAUGAGGAUGAUAUUACAAAUGUGAAAAUAUAAUAUACAUAAAAAGAUCAUUAAAUCAUCAGAAAAAUAAGUCCUGGACUGAAGGCAGAGGACUGAAAGAACCGCUGAAAUAAAGCCUUCCUCUCCUAACUUGCCUCUCUCUCAUGUGGAACACCAACAACAGGGGCUCUCCCUCAUACACACACUCCUCUGCAUACCCUGUCAGACCUCAGUCACAGCUCUCCACUCUAACAUGAGCAGCAACUACAGAGACCACAGGACAGAGAGUCAAGGUGUAUACCAAAUAAACACACACAUUCAUCCAUCUAAAACACCUUCCACCUGCAGAUCGCAGAGGCCCACAUCUCUCCAGUCCACACAUACAUACAAUAGUCAUCCAACAGCCUGCCUGUUACCUCUCCAUUAAGGUCCCCUCCACAUAUUAAACAGGCAUCAGUGAGGACAGCCCUGGGCAUGGCUCCCUGCAGGACCUCAGUAGUGAUGCAGUUUCCACUCUUGACACCUCGUCAAACACACCCCUCACAAAAAAAAGUUGAUUUCUUGAACAUGAUCUUGGGCUGAGUAUAAUAUAAUAGAUAACAUACAAGAAGCUUAAACAAAAACUGCCAAUAUCAUUUUGUCACCUAAUAGCCACAAUAAAAAAACAGCCAAAUAUUGAAAAACAUCAUGCUUCCUUAAAAGAUAGAGAAACUAUCUAGAAACUCUAGAAACCACUAUCAUUAAGAAUUAGAAUUAUACAAAUGAUUUACUUAAAUUGUGUAAUAGUAGUAAUAAUAAUGAUUAUAAUAAUAGAUUUUUACUUAACUUCAUAUCAUGUAUUUCCUGUGUUACACAACACAGGUUUAGAUGGGAAGAGGAAGAGGGGACAUCAUGAGACAAAAGAGGAAGAAUCAAACGCUCACCGAGGACGAGAAAACACCCCAAUACCCCCCUAACACACACACCCUCAAUACACUCCCUGCCCAAAUCCUAAUACUGGGCGUGAGUGUGGCGAGGGGAGAGUUGGAGAGGUUGGGUUUGGGGGAGGGCUGACAGUGAGUUGACAGUGGGUUGACCGUGAGUUAACAGUGGGUUGGGGUUGCGGUGAGAAGAGGGUUGCUGUUGUUGGAUGGAUGGUUGGAUGGUUGGAUGGUUGGUUGGUUGGUUGUUGAGAUGGUGUUGUCAGUGGGUACAGUGGUGGGUUGCUGUUGUUUGGAUGGAUGGUUGGAUGGUUGGUUGUUGAGAUGGUGUUGUCAGUGGGUACAGUGGGUUGCUGUUGUUGGAUGGAUGGAUGGAUGGUUGGGUUGAUGGUGUUGUCAGUGGGUACAGUGGGUUGCUGUUGUUGGAUGGAUGGUUGGUUGUUGAGAUGGUGUUGUCAGUGGGUACAGUGGGUUGGGGUUGUUGGAUGGUUGGUUGUUGAGAUGGCGUUGUCAGUGGCAGACGGCGACAGACAAGGGGGCGGUAGUUGUAGAGAAGAGAUGCAUGCUGGGUAUCCGGUGUGCGAGAGGUCUGGUGCUGCAGGAUUAGAGCCACCCAACACUGGACAUGUUCUCCGCCUCCCUCCCUCUCUCUCUCUCCAGCAGAGCACUCGUCAGACAUGGCUUUGGCAUUCUCCUCCUGAAAUACA
ensembl:lncRNA